rnacentral:rRNA from 1 species
AGCGAACGCUGGCGGCAGGCCUAACACAUGCAAGUCGAACGAACUCUUCGGAGUUAGUGGCGGACGGGUGAGUAACACGUGGGAACGUGCCUUUAGGUUCGGAAUAACUCAGGGAAACUUGUGCUAAUACCGAAUGUGCCCUUCGGGGGAAAGAUUUAUCGCCUUUAGAGCGGCCCGCGUCUGAUUAGCUAGUUGGUGAGGUAAAGGCUCACCAAGGCGACGAUCAGUAGCUGGUCUGAGAGGAUGAUCAGCCACAUUGGGACUGAGACACGGCCCAAACUCCUACGGGAGGCAGCAGUGGGGAAUCUUGCGCAAUGGGCAAAAGCCUGACGCAGCCAUGCCGCGUGAAUGAUGAAGGUCUUAGGAUUGUAAAAUUCUUUCACCGGGGACGAUAAUGACGGUACCCGGAGAAGAAGCCCCGGCUAACUUCGUG